rnacentral:rRNA from 1 species
UACGGGGGGGGCAAGCGUUGUUCGGAAUUACUGGGCGUAAAGGGCUCGUAGGCGGCCUACUAAGUCCGACGUGAAAUCCCAAGGCUUAACCUUGGAACUGCGUCGGAUACUGGAUGGCUUGAAUUCGGGAGAGGGAUGCAGAAUUCCAGGUGUAGCGGUGAAAUGCGUAGAUAUCUGGAGGAAUACCGGUGGCGAAGGCGGGUCUCUGGGCCGAUACUGACGCUGAGGAGCGAAAGCGUGGGGAGCGAACAGG